GCCCGGGUGGCGGAAUUGGUAGACGCAAGGGACUUAAAAUCCCUCGGGAGUUUCUCCCGUGCCGGUUCGAGUCCGGCCCUGGGCA
rnacentral:tRNA from 1 species